AAGAGAGGACGACCUCCCCCAUUUCGGGUCAGGAUUCGGGACGACCCGA
rnacentral:ncRNA from 1 species